rnacentral:rRNA from 1 species
GAUGAACGCUAGCUACAGGCUUAACACAUGCAAGUCGAGGGGAAACGAUGAGAGAGCUUGCUCUCUUAGGCGUCGACCGGCGCACGGGUGAGUAACGCGUAUCCAACCUACCCAUUACAGGGGGAUAACCUUGCGAAAGUAAGACUAAUACCCCAUGGCAUUUUAUGGUGGCAUCAUUAUAGGAUUAAAGAUUUAUUGGUAAUGGAUGGGGAUGCGUCUGAUUAGCUUGUUGGCGGGGUAACGGCCCACCAAGGCAACGAUCAGUAGGGGUUCUGAGAGGAAGGUCCCCCACAUUGGAACUGAGAAACGGUCGAAACUCCUACGGGAGGCAGCAGUGAGGAAUAUUGGUGAAUGGGCGAGAGCUUGAACCAGCCAAGUAGGGUGCAGGAUGACGGCCCUAGGGGUUGUAAACUGCUUUUAUAGGGCAAUAAAGUGAGCUAAGUGUAGUUUAUUGAAUGUACCCUAUGAAUAAGCACCGGCUAAUUACGUG